UACGUAGGGUGCAAGCGUUAAUCGGAGUUACUGGGCGUAAAGCGUGCGCAGGCGGUUUUGUAAGUCUGUCGUGAAAGCCCCGGGCUCAACCUGGGAAUUGCGAUGGAGACUGCAAGGCUUGAAUCUGGCAGAGGGGGGUAGAAUUCCACGUGUAGCAGUGAAAUGCGUAGAGAUGUGGAGGAACACCGAUGGCGAAGGCAGCCCCCUGGGUCAAGAUUGACGCUCAUGCACGAAAGCGUGGGGAGCAAACAGG
rnacentral:rRNA from 1 species